GAGGAGAGCAGAUCCUUUCCUGCUCUCUGCCAAUGCAUGCAGCUUCCGUCUGGGGCAGCGCACAUCUCAAGAAUCCCCGCAUGGCGACAGCAUGCACACGGUGUCUGCACAUGCAUGAAACAACUAAAUGGGUGCUGAUGGACAAGCCAUCAUACACAUGGUUCUUCUAUUUAUUUAUUUUAUUUUAUUUUUACAUUUAUAUCCUGCUCUUCCUCCAAGGAUCCCAGACCCGGAGCAUACAUGGUAUACAUGGUUAUGUUUAUCACAAUAAUCCUGUGAGGGAGGAGCAAGGAGCUUGAACCCCUCUCUGGGCAGAGAGUCACCUUUUCUGUUUAGCAGGGGAAGAUUAACUGUCCCUAUCCAAUGCCAGCACAGCAUCCCUCAGGUGGCUUCCUGGUGUCUCCCUUGCGCUUCUUUUUAGAAUCAGACAGGGAACCAUUUUCUUGGCAAAGGGAACCAUUUUCACCAAUAUAAACUGCUUUGAGAUUUUUUGUUGUUGGAAGCAGCAUAUAAAU